rnacentral:rRNA from 1 species
UGGGGAAUUUUGGACAAUGGGGGCAACCCUGAUCCAGCCAUUCCGCGUGAGUGAAGAAGGCCUUCGGGUUGUAAAGCUCUUUUGUCCGGAACGAAACGGUUAGUUUGAAUACGACUGACUACUGACGGUACCGGAAGAAUAAGCACCGGCUAACUACGUGCCAGCAGCCGCGGUAAUACGUAGGGUGCGAGCGUUAAUCGGAAUUACUGGGCGUAAAGGGUGCGCAGGCGGUUUUGUAAGCCAGAUGUGAAAUCCCCGGGCUUAACCUGGGAAUGGCAUUUGGGACUGCAAGGCUGGAGUGCGGCAGAGGAGACUGGAAUUCCUGGUGUAGCAGUGAAAUGCGUAGAUAUCAGGAGGAAUACCGAUGGCGAAGGCAGGUCUCUGGGCUGACACUGACGCUCAUGCACGAAAGCGUGGGGAGCAAACA